rnacentral:rRNA from 1 species
ACGAACGCUGGCGGCGUGCCUAAUACAUGCAAGUAGAGCGCUGAAGGAGGAGCUUGCUUCUCUGGAUGAGUUGCGAACGGGUGAGUAACGCGUAGGUAACCUGCCUGGUAGCGGGGGAUAACUAUUGGAAACGAUAGCUAAUACCGCAUAAUAGUAGAUGUUGCAUGACAUUUGCUUAAAAGGUGCAAUUGCAUCACUACCAGAUGGACCUGCGUUGUAUUAGCUAGUUGGUGGGGUAACGGCUCACCAAGGCGACGAUACAUAGCCGACCUGAGAGGGUGAUCGGCCACACUGGGACUGAGACACGGCCCAGACUCCUACGGGAGGCAGCAGUAGGGAAUCUUCGGCAAUGGACGGAAGUCUGACCGAGCAACGCCGCGUGAGUGAAGAAGGUUUUCGGAUCGUAAAGCUCUGUUGUAAGAGAAGAACGAGUGUGAGAGUGGAAAGUUCACACUGUGACGGUAUCUUACCAGAAAGGGACGGCUAACUACGUG